rnacentral:RNase_P_RNA from 1 species
ACAGGUAAGGGUGAAACGGUGCCGCGGCUUGCGCGAGCAAGCUGAGGGUCGGUGCGCAAGCAUCGGCAGGUAAGAGCUCACCGCAGGACUGGCAACAGGACUGGCACGGCAAACCCCAUCCGGGGCAAGGCCAAAUAGGGGAGCAUCGGCGUGGCUCGCGUCGCUCCCGGGUAGGCUGCUAGAGCGCCACGGCGACGUGGCGCCCAGAGGAAUGACUGCCCGAUGUCACCGGUCCGCCGGUGGCGUUCGACAGAACCCGGCUUAUCGGCGGACUUCCCAC